GAGGAGAAUAAAAAUGGUUUCACUGGAAACUAACUCAUGGGAAAGAGAGAUCACCAUUCUCAACUGCAUUUGACAAACAUAGAAAAUGUUUCACUGAAGCUAAUUUCCAGAUAAUAUUCUUUAAAAGCAAAUUCACUAUAUGUAGGUGCUUUGGUUACAAAAAAAUAAUACAUUAUGGCACUACUAAUCUAUUGAAGAACAUAGCAUCCCUUGCCCACUGCCCCAACCCAAAUCCCCUUCCACUCCCCUAGCAGGCCAGUCCCACUCCUCUCAUGUUACUUUUUCUCCAUUCAGCACUGCCUGCAGGGCAGACAAGCUAGUUACAGUCUUGUUUUCUCAACUAGGAGGUAUGGAAUUCUUCAUCCUAGAAUCUUUACCGAUACCCUGUAACUGUAAUAACAUAGCCAGGGGUCUUUUCAUAUACCAAUGACUCCUAAUUCAGACCUCUGUAUCUGAGCAAAUGGCAGACUAAUCUUUUCCUACUAGAGACUAACAUUUGUAGAGCAAUUACUCUAAGAUGGCCUACAUUUUAAAAUCCAACAACAUGCAUAGGAAAUGAAAAGGAAAAAAAGAAAAUCUCAAGUUAGCUUUCUACUACAGAGAAUAAAGUGGGGGAAACUUUAAUCUUUUAUAAAAAACCUUCACAGGAAAAAGUCAGGUUGGGGAGGUACUUCCUUCAGGGACAGAGAGAUUAAGGAAAAGGCUAAAACAAAGAUGGUAUUUUUUUUUUUUUUUCUGCAAUCAGUUAGAGAAGUAAAAGUCCCAUCAGAAAUGCAUAGUGGGGAGUUCCCGUCGUGGUGCAUUAGCUGUAACUGGUCAGUAAUGUUCAACGACACAAUAGGAAACACAUGCCUACGGUGUACAGUUGAGAGAUGCAUGUUCACAGAAAGAACAAAGACGAUGAUGUUUCUGACUUUAUUUUUAAAAAAGAAAUAGUAGGUGCUUCAACAGGAGAGGGAAGCAGGAAAUCUCAAGAUAGUAACCACUGUCAUAUGUGAUUGUGGUUGCUAUGGCAAAUACCUUUUUUAAAACACACAGAAAAUAAUCACAUGAAAUUGACAUCAAUUUCUCCAGUUGCAGGUGAAUACUGACUCUAGCUUAUAAAGACAUUUUGAAUUUUAAUAACAAAUUUAAUGUUCAAAAUUACCUUCUUUCUUAAUUUUGGUCCCAAUUCCUUCAACUACUUGCUGUGGAACUAAAACCCCGUAAGUACUAAAGAACAAAAUAAUCAUCACUCAAUUUUUCUGUGCAUGAGUUUUUUCUUACCUUCAAACAUUCCUUUUGGAAAAUACGCCAGUCUAUUCACAUUUCUUUUUACUAACUUUUCUAAUUUGCACAUGUUUUCCAACAGGUGAAACAUCAUGAAAAUCUAAAUACGUAAAGGAGUUUUUAUAAUACUUUAAUGAUGUAUUUUGUUUAAUUUUUAAUUUCUUAGCAUAAUUAUGACAAAGAUAGUCAAAGGCAGAAAUUAAAUAAUUAAUCACAUCAUUAGCGUAAUAUAUUUCAACAUCAAAGGAUUUAUGAAUAUUACCUAAUUUGUUCUUCUAAAAAUAUUUUAAGAUGUGGGUGUUCCACCUGAUUAAUGAUCUUAGAAAUCUGUCCUUUAGUUUGUUGCCAGGAGUACAGUGAACACAUAUAAAAACCAGGAUGUUAAUAUGGAAGCUACUGACCUCAGCUUUUUCUAAACUUCAUCAGACUGUACUUUGAAACAAAGGAGGAUACAGAACAGGGAGAAGAUCCAGAGGCUAUUCAUAAAAAAAGAUUAAAAGCUUCUAAAAUAAUACCUGCACAAAGGUUAAAGGGAGUGAAAUUGUUCAGCCAGCAAAAGUCUGAGGAUACAAUGUAAUAAGUACCCAAGUACAUAUGAAAGGGUUCUUGCACAGAAAAUAGUGACCAGCUGUUUUCCAUCUCCAAGGAGGGCAGAAUAAAAGGAAACAGACAAAUUGAAGACCAAGGAUUUUAGUUAAAAGGAAUGAUUUGUGCGAGUAAUGAGCACUACAAUAGCCACUGUGUGUCUAUGGAAGCCCUUUCUUCAGAGGCCUUUAUAAGAAAGACUGAUUUUCAUUUGCACAAGGAAGACUAAUAUUUACAUGCUGGUCUGUGCUCUGUGCUGAUAAAAAGAGAUAUCCUAUGACAAAAAUACCAACACUAACAGGCUAGAGCUGUUAAACAUUCCACAGAACAAAGGCACACAGAACAGACCAUAUUCAGUACCCACAGGUAACUCCAAACCAUUGCAGCCACACCAUAGCUGGACACAUAGUACCUCUGAGGAGGAAAACGAAGGGUUUCUAACUGCCCAGGAAUAUCUUGGGUCCUUGCAUCCAGCUGCAAGUGGGAGCUGUAUUUACUGUUGUGACCUUUUUGCUAUGUUGUUGGCAAAACUAAUCUUACCAGGUAAAGAGGCAUAUAACAAUUUUACGUGAAAGGAUUGUAAGAUCUCUGGAGAAGUGGGAAAGUGAUCCCACUUCCUAACCUGCUUAACUGUUUCUUGGCAUCUGAAAUUCUGCUCUUAGUUAUUUACUCUUUUGGCUCAAAGCUCUGUAGCUUUCGAAAAAAAAAUGUAAACAUUCCAAGAACAUAAAACAUCAUUUAAGCAUUUUUACAGCUGCAUACUGGAUACUUUUCUUAACCAGAUUUUGGGAGGAUAA
rnacentral:lncRNA from 1 species